rnacentral:rRNA from 1 species
GCCUACGGGGGGCAGCAGUGGGGAAUUUUGGACAAUGGGCGCAAGCCUGAUCCAGCAAUGCCGCGUGCAGGAAGAAGGCCUUCGGGUUGUAAACUGCUUUUGUCAGGGAAGAAAUCCUCUGGGCUAAUACCUCGGGGGGAUGACGGUACCUGAAGAAUAAGCACCGGCUAACUACGUGCCAGCAGCCGCGGUAAUACGUAGGGUGCGAGCGUUAAUCGGAAUUACUGGGCGUAAAGCGUGCGCAGGCGGCUUUGCAAGACAGAGGUGAAAUCCCCGGGCUCAACCUGGGAACUGCCUUUGUGACUGCAAGGCUAGAGUACGGCAGAGGGAGAUGGAAUUCCGCGUGUAGCAGUGAAAUGCGUAGAUAUGCGGAGGAACACCGAUGGCGAAGGCAAUCUCCUGGGCCUGUACUGACGCUCAUGCACGAAAGCGUGGGGAGCAAACAGGAUUAGAUACCCUGGUAGUCGC